rnacentral:rRNA from 1 species
CUUGACGUUUACGUCAUAAGAAGGACCGGCUAAAUCCGUGCCAGCAGCCGCGGUAAUACGGAAGGUCCUAGCGUUCAUCGGAAUUACUGGGCGUAAAGCGCGCGUACGCCGAUAUUUAAGUCACAUGUGAAAUCCCUGGGCUCAACCUAGGAGCUGCAUUUGAUACUGGAUAUCUAGAGUAUGGUAAAAGUUACUGGAAUUUCAGGUGUAGCGCUGAAAUGCGUAGAGAUCUCAAGGAACGUCAGUGGCCAAAAGCGACUCAUUGGGCCAUUACUGACCCUGAAGUUCGAAAAGCGUGGGUAGCAAAGGGGAUUAGAUUCCCCGGUAGUCCAAGGCCUUAAAUGAAGUCAACUAGGGUUUUGGGAGUUUAACUCCAGUUUACCGAACCUUACCCGAAAAGUUGACCGCCUGGGGAAAAACGGUUUCCAAACUAAACCCCAAGGGAUUUGACGGGGGCCUGAAAAACCGGGGAACCAGGGGUUUUAUUUCGUUGCUCCCGAAAAAACCUUA